rnacentral:lncRNA from 1 species
AUGGUCGCCGCCAGCCAGCCUGGGGUCCGGCUCGCGAGCCCCCCGCCCCGCCCCUGUGCCCCGCCUCCCGCCAGGUGCCGCGAUCGGAGCCGGAGGCCGGGCCGAGGACAGCCGCAGAGGCGGCCCAGCGGUGCGGGUACCUACCUUACCUACGGGGGUGACGAAGGCAGAGGCCUCGCCCGCUCCUCCGAACCCUGCUCCUCCAGGCUCGGGCGCAGGAUUGAGGAGCGGAGGCGAGGCGACGGCGGCUGCUGCUCAGGAGCCGGGAGCCGCGGACUCACUCGCUUACAUCGCCGAGCGCACGCACGCACACUCACUCACACACUCACAAACACACGCGCGCGCGCGAGUCCACGGGGAGUCCGGCCCCCACCACGACUUCCCCGGAGUCACCGCCUGGGCCCCCUCCCCUUGGAGGAGGGGCCAACGGUGGAGAGGAGCCGCCCCGACCCGCCCCGGCAGCCCGCCGGCGUGGGAAGGGCUUUCCCAUUGGCCCAGGCGACCGUUUGGUUCUCCGCCUCGCGUUCAUUGGCCAGUGGGAGGAAGCCGUUCGCUACCAUAAUUGGUCCUGGUGGCGUCGGUGAUCUACGCCCACCGUCCGUCAAUCAAGCGACGCUCCGCCCCUGCUCCUCUCAGCUCUGUUCCCUAUCCUGGCACUCAGUUGCGCACACGCCCCCUGCCUCCUUCCUUGGCUGGUCGCAGGUGGCGGGUGCUCCAGCAUCCAAGAGAAGCUGGCUUGGGGAAAGAAUCUAUUACCUGGAGACUCCUGAUACGAACUCAUUAUACCUUGGAUCAGUUUACACCUGCUCAAUUCCUCACCUCCCUGCGAGCCUUGGUGACCCUGGAAAUAACCUCCAUGCCAACCUUUCCCUAGAGCCCAACAUCCCUGGAGAGGGGAGAAGAGAUGAUCGCGUAGUGGUAUCAACAAUGGAUGAAAGCGCACAAGUUCUGGCGGAGGAGAAAGAAGAUCACAUCAUUCCCCCCCUCCCCCCUUCCCCUCUACCAACCUUGGUUGCUCAAUAAAAGAUGGCAAGCCUUAGCCCUUUGAUGCCUCUUCCACUUUGUUUCUUUUCCUUAGUAGACCAAAUAGCAAUCAUGAGGAAAGGGGACACCUCAGGAGCUCCUGUGUUCUUUCUAAACCAGUUGCACUGCUAAAGGUGUUCCCUGCCCCUACCAUAACAUUUUUCUAGGGAGAGGAUAACCAUAACACCCCUCAAGAAGACAAACCCAAACCCUGCUAGAAGACAAACAAACUGAGGUGAUAAGAUUGAGCAGGUAAGAGGUAGAGUAAUGAUAAGUCCCACUAAGUGUCUCAUGAUUUAAAGGUUUACAUUAUCAGCCUCCUGGGGGGAGAGUAUAAUGGGAGUUUGGGGAUACUGUUAGAAGUCUUUGUCAAGGUGCACCUGUGAGGCUUUUGGGUUUUAGGCAUUUCUUUUGUG